rnacentral:rRNA from 1 species
UACGUAUGGGGCAAGCGUUAUCCGGAUUUACUGGGUGUAAAGGGAGCGCAGGCGGCCUGCCAAGUCUGGUGUGAAAACCCGGGGCCCAACCCCGGGCCUGCAUUGGAAACUGGCAGGCUUGAGUAUGGUAGAGGCAAACGGAAUUUCUAGUGUAGCGGUAAAAUGCGUAGAUAUUAGAAGGAACACCAGUGGCGAAGGCGGUUUGCUGGGCCAUUACUGACGCUCAUGCACGAAAGCGUGGGGAGCAAACAGG